rnacentral:rRNA from 1 species
UACGUAGGAGGCAAGCGUUGUCCGGAGUUACUGGGCGUAAAGCGCACGCAGGCGGUCUGUCAAGUCGGAUGUGAAAUCCCCGGGCUUAACCUGGGAACUGCAUUCGAAACUGGCAGGCUGGAGUCUUGUAGAGGGGGGUAGAAUUCCAGGUGUAGCGGUGAAAUGCGUAGAGAUCUGGAGGAAUACCGGUGGCGAAGGCGGCCCCCUGGACAAAGACUGACGCUCAGGUGCGAAAGCGUGGGGAGCAAACAGG